AGCUAUCAUCGACCUACUUUUAAAUUUCCUUCAACUGUUUCGAGGUCUUCAUCUAAUGAUCGUUAUAUAUUCAACGAUUUCCAGGUAAAAAACGGAGCUCGAUGCGAUUCUGGCAAACAUGGAAAAGCAAUUGGACAGAUUUUUAUUAAACAAAUAAGGUAUAUUUAUCUCUCCGAAAUGCUGAGAAUAUAAUGCGUGUAAAGUGCAUACACGUUGGCAUCUCAGUGUAAAGGGUUUAAUAUCUUAAAUCAUAAAAAAAAAUCGUUAUGGAUAUUUUGACCACAUGAAAGUAGCCAUAUGCACUUACAUGCCACCCUUAUAACAUGUUCACUUCUUGUAUUUCUUCAAAUCUUCAAAUCUAGCAAUUAUUAAUUCGUUUUAUAGUUAUCCACCUAAAUGCUUUACAACCGGUCUGUCGAUAAAACAAAAUGAAUUGUACAAUAUAUCGUUUUCGAAGAUAUCCAGCGAAAACCUGAAAUUUCAUUACUAUUUUUAAUAAAACUCGUGCUUUGUGCUCGUAAAGCGCAUAAGAACCCUUGAUUUAUACUUUUGCUCUUUCCAACGAUGUAAUUUCGUAUUUGUUGCAAACUAUACAAAGUUUAAUGGGGAGCAGAAGUUUUCCUUCGAGGCAUUACACGUGCUGUAAUCAAUUCGAGUGAAAUAUUAGUCGGGUGAUCGAGAGCUUCGAAUUUAUUUAAAAAAGCAUUUAUUAAAAUAAAUAAUUUAUAGCAACAAAUAAAUUUUAUGUCGGAACCAAAUAAUCCGAAUCAAAACGAAAUAUGUGAUAUUUUAUGGCGAUUUUAUUUUAAUAAUCUGCCCAUACUACUGACUUGAUUAUUAAUUAGCGGUGGGCUCUUGUGUGUUAAUUUUGUGACACAUAACAUAACGAAGUAUGAUUCCACAAUAAGGCUUCAUAUGCAACUAAUUCGACUAGACUUGCACAAAUUUUCUAUUUGUUCAAGUAAAUUAGAAUAUAACAGUUCAGGUUUCAUUUGUAAUUUCCACAUUAAUUAUAUUGCAAAUUCAUAACUUCCUGCUAAUUUUCAUUGGCCAAUUUUGACAACUCAAAAUUGAAUUAUCAUGUUUUGUUAAUACGUUAUUCGUCAUGAAAUUAAGUGAAAAGUAUCUAAAGCAAAUAAUGUAUUUUUAAAUAAUUACAAACGCAAUUGAUACUAGUUAAAGUAUGAAAAUCAACAAAUCGUGGGAGCAAAAUUGAAGGAAAUAAUGAACAAAAAAGUUGCAAAUAUUUAAAACAUUAAGAGCAAAUGAAAGGAAACAUGACAGUUUAAAAAAAUCAAUAUAAACAAUAAUUUUGAUAAUAAAAUGACAAAUAUAAAAAAUUUGCUCAGUGACAAUAAAAUUGUAAUUUACUUAAAAGGUGUAUGUAAAAAAGUAUGAAAAUCCCAUAUCAUUUAUCAUUUAAUAUAGCUGAUGCACCUUAAAGCGACCGUAAUGCAACCAAAUUCCGCAGGUAAUAUUAUAUCGCUUUGCGUUUACAGUAAAUGCAUCGAUUCGCAAGCGAACAAUGCCGGUAGAUUUGAAUAAUACCAUACCUAAUUUAAUACCAAAUAAUUUAAUAUAAAUUUAUUAUAGGUUUGGCACUAUUGCGAUCUGAACGGAGGCCAAGCAUCGUUUCUCUGCCCAAAUGGAACCAUCUUCAGUCAAGUCGCUUUAACCUGCGAUUGGUGGUACAAUGUUAAGUGCGCUUCCACUGCCCAACUUUACGUGCUAAAUGAGCGAUUGUACAAAUACAUUAUUCCACUUUCACCCAAGUUUCCCGAAGAUUAUAGCGGACCUCUAGUCGACAAGUACUUGGCCAUGAAGUUCCAAGAAAUGGAAGAAAAGCUUAGAAAGCAGAAAAAAGGCAAAGGAAAUGCUGAUGCAAAAGUAUCGGAAGAAACGGCUGAAAGUGAUGACACAGAAGAUGAUGAAGAUGAUGAUGACGAUGAAGACAGUGAUUCCUCAAAGGAAGAAUCCCAAGCUGUUGAAGAGACUGAAACCACAACUGCAACAAGCCAAACUCCAGAUGUAGCAACGAUUAUUAGCAGCAACACUCGGAAAUAAACUUCAGAACUAUUCCUGCAUCAAAUUGAAUGGUUCAAGUUCAAAUGAACAUUCCAAACAAUUCGCCUGUACAAAACAGUGACAAUCAAUACAUUUUAUUAUUUGUCUUCAAUUUUCCCUGACCAGAAACGAUUAAAAGUUUGCGUUACAUUCAACUGUACAUAAUUAAUCGUCCGAUUGUGUUUAAAUGUUUACGAACAGUUGGACACAUUGAGUGCAGUUAUAGAUGCUCAACUAGACGCAACCUUGUUUCAAUAAAUUAUUUUAAUUCAAAUAAAGUGACAUUUAAAUAGCACUCCAAAUGAUUACAAUUUGAACAAAUUGAAUAUAAUGAACUUACUUUAUAUAUGGAUACAAGUUUUUCGCAUUUAAAACGAUGAUAUUUGUAUGAAUUUUUGUUCUAAGAGUCUCAAGGAAAUUGUCCCGUUAAAAUGUCUACAUAUUAUUUACUUUAAAAGCUUAAUUGGGCUUUAUCGCAAAGUUUAUCAAUAAUAUCAUUUUUUUACAACAAUAUAAAGACUAACGAUUUUUGGGUCUCGAAUUCAUCUCACGGUAAACCAGCUCCACUAAGGAAGUAAAACUACAGAACAACGAAAAACUAAUUCGAAUUAAAAAUCAAAAUUUAAUUUCCAAGAAAAUCGAAUUUCAAAAGAUUAUCAGUUUAAAGUUAAAUUUAAAAAUCCGUUUCGUUCAAGGCAGAAUCCACGACUAAAAGUAAUCACAAUCAUUGUAAAUGCUUCUAAUGCUAAUGAAAGGAAAAUUAAACAGUGUUUAAAUAUGUACUAUUAAAUUUGGGGAAAAUAUAUCAAAUUUUAACAAUGACGCUCUGUAUAUAUGAAUUCAAGUUGAUAAGUAUUUUUAUUUAUUUAUUUUUGUAUACAUAAGCUGUUAAAAAAUUUGUUACUAUACAGUAAUUAUUGUAACAUGUACUUAAUUGUCAAUAGAAUUGUUCU